rnacentral:rRNA from 1 species
AUAUCAAUAAGCGGAGGAAAAGAAACCAACAGGGAUUCCCUCAGUAAAGGCGAUUGAACAGGGAAAAGCUCAGACUUAAAAUCUCCCUGAUUUAUCAGGGCGAAUUGUAGUUUUGUGAGUGGAGAAGUUUGAGGUGGAUUUGGUCUAAGUUACCUGGAAAGGUGCGCCCUAGAAGGUGAAAGCCCUGUAAGACUAAAUUCUACACGCCUUAUAACUCCUUUACUCUUAGAGUCGGAUUGCUUGGGAGUGCAGUCCAAAAUGGGUGGUAAAUCCCAUCUAAAGCUAAAUAUUGGUGAGAGACCGAUAGCGCACAAGUA